UACGGAAGGCAGCAGUGGGGAAUAUUGCACAAUGGGCGCAAGCCUGAUGCAGCCAUGCCGCGUGUAUGAAAAAGGCCUUCGGGUUGUAAAGUACUUUCAGUCGUGAGGAAGGUGUUAAGGUUAAUAACCUUAGCAAUUGACGUUAGCGACAGAAGAAGCACCGGCUAACUCCGUGCCAGCAGCCGCGGUAAUACGGAGGGUGCGAGCGUUAAUCGGAAUUACUGGGCGUAAAGGGCACGCAGGCGGUUAAUUAAGUUGGAUGUGAAAUCCCCGGGCUUAACCUGGGAAUGGCAUUCAAGACUGGUUAGCUAGAGUCUUGUAGAGGGGGUUAGAAUUCCAUGUGUAGCGGUGAAGUGCGUAGAGAUGUGGAGGAAUACCGGUGGCGAAGGCGGCCCCUGGACAAAGACUGACGCUCAUGUGCGAAAGCGUGGGGAGCAAACAGGGAUUAGAUACC
rnacentral:rRNA from 1 species